rnacentral:ncRNA from 1 species
GCAUAAGAAAACGGGAGCUUGGAGAAAGCCAGGCUGAGAGGGCGGAGUUCUCUGCCGCCGACCGAUAACCUGAUCUGGAUAAUGCCAGCGUAGGGAAUGGAUCGCGUUCAUCA